rnacentral:rRNA from 6 species
UUUCGAAGAGUUUGAUCCUGGCUCAGAGUGAACGCUAGCGGUGCGCCUAACACAUGCAAGUCGAGCGAGGCUUCGAGCCGAGCGGCGAACGGCUGCGUAACACGUUGGAACCUUCCCCAGACUCAGGGAUAAUCCGCCGAAAGGCGGACUAAUACCGGAUGGUCCCGCAAGGGUAAAGCUUUUGCGGUCUGGGAGGGGCCUGCGGCCUAUCAGCUAGUUGGUGAGGUGAAAGCUCACCAAGGCUAUGACGGGUAGCUGAUCUGAGAGGAUGAUCAGCCAGAAUGGGACUGAGACACGGCCCAUACUCCUACGGGAGGCAGCAGUGAGGAAUCUUCCGCAAUGGGGGCAACCCUGACGGAGCGACACCGCGUGAAGGAUGACGCCCUAUUUGGGUGUAAACUUCUGUUCUGAGGGACGAAAUUUUUGACGGUACCUCAGGAGAAAGCACCGGCUAAUUCCGUGCCAGCAGCCGCGGUAAGACGGAAGGUGCAAGCGUUACUCGGAAUUACUGGGCGUAAAGCGUCCGCAGGCCUCUCUGUUAGUCUGGCGUUAAAGCACGGAGCUCAACUCCGUGUACGUGCCGGAAACUGCAGAGAUAGAGUCACUCAGAGGCAUCUGGAAUGCCGUGUGUAGGGGUAAUAUCCGUUGAUCCACGGUAGAACGCCAAAAGCGAAAGCAGGAUGCUGGGGGUGUACUGACGCUCAGGGACGAAAGCGUGGGGAGCAAAGGGGAUUAGAUACCCCCGUAGUCCACGCCCUAAACUAUGCGUGCUCGGUGUUGAGAUUUUUCAAUUGAUCUCAGUGCCUUAAGCUAACGCGGUAAGCACGCCGCCUGGGGAGUACGGCCGCAAGGCUAAAACUCAAAGGAAUAGACGGGGACCCACACAAGCGGUGGAGCAUGGGGUUUAAUUCGAUGAUAAGCGGAGCACCUCACCCAGGUUUGACAUCCCGAGGAUCCCGCAGAAAUGCGGGAGUGCCGUAAGGAACUCGGUGACAGGUGAUGCACGGUCGUCGUCAGCUCGUGCCUUGAGGUGUACUGUUAAGUCAGCAAACGAGCGCAACCCUCAUCCUAUGUUGUUUUUUCAUAGGAGACUGCCGCCUCCAAGGCGGAGGAAGGCGAGGAUGACGUCAGAUCUGCGUGUCCUUUAUGCCUGGGGCAACACCCGUGCUACAAUGGCCAGAACAAAGGGCAGCGAACCCGCGAGGGAGAGCCAAUCCCACCAAAUCUGGUCUCAGUUCGGAUUGAAGUCUGCAACUCGACUUCAUGAAGUUGGAAUCGCUAGUAACCGUGAAUCAGCUACGUCACGGUGAAUACGUUCCUGGGUCUUGUACUCACCGCCCGUCAAGUCAUGAAAGGCAGGGGCACCCGAAGCACCCUUAUCCUUCGGGAGGGGUACCACGGUGAAACUGCUGAUUGGGACUAAGUCGUAACAAGGUAUCCGUAGGAGAACCUGCGGAUGGAACACUUCCUUACCAGGGA